rnacentral:rRNA from 1 species
CCUACGGGAGGCAGCAGUGGGGAAUAUUGCGCAAUGGGGGAAACCCGUGACGCAGCAACGCCGCGUGAGUGAGGAAGGACUUCGGUCUGUAAAGCUCUGUUAAUGAGGAAAAAAUGGUAGUUGGUCUAAUAGGCCGAUUAUUUGAUGGUACUCAUAGAGGAAGCACCGGCUAACUUCGUGCCAGCAGCCGCGGUAAUACGAAGGGUGCAAGCGUUGUUCGGAUUUAUUGGGCGUAAAGCGCGCGUAGGCGGACCUGCAAGUAAGAUGUGAAAUCUCGAGGCUCAACCUCGAAACUGCGUCUUAAACUACAGGUCUAGAAUCUCGGAGGGGGAAGGGGAAUUUCGCAUGUAGGGGGUAAAACUCCGUAGAUAUGCGAAGGAACACCAGAGGCGAAGGCGCCUUCCUGGACGAGUAUUGACGCUGAGGCGCGAAAGCGUGGGGAUCAAACAGGAUUAGAUACCCUGGUAGUCCACGUCUACGUAACGUANAGAACUACGUAGUAGUAGGAGUAUUACCGU